CAGGCCUAACACAUGCAAGUCGAGCGGCAAGUCGAGGAGUAAUCUGAGACCUAGAGCGGCGCACGGGUGCGUAACGCGUAUGUAACCUACCCUAUACAGGGGGAUAGCCCGGAGAAAUCUGGAUUAAUACCCCAUGGCACUGCGAAUCAGCAUUGGUUUGCAGUUAAAGAUUUAUCGGUAUAGGAUGGACAUGCGUCUGAUUAGCUAGUUGGCGGUGUAACGGACCACCAAGGCGACGAUCAGUAGGGGUUCUGAGAGGAAGGUCCCCCACACUGGCACUGAGAUACGGGCCAGACUCCUACGGGAGGCAGCAGUAGGGAAUAUUGGGCAAUGGACGAGAGUCUGACCCAGCCAUGCCGCGUGCAGGAAGAAGGCGUUCUGCGUUGUAAACUGCUUUUAUCUGGGAAGAAAGGCCCAUGCGUGGGACAUUGCCGGUACCAGAUGAAUAAGCACCGGCUAACUCCGUGCCAGCAGCCGCGGUAAUACGGAGGGUGCAAGCGUUGUCCGGAUUUAUUGGGUUUAAAGGGUGCGUAGGCGGUUGAUUAAGUCAGCGGUGAAAGUUUUGGGCUCAACCCAGAAAUUGCCAUUGAUACUGGUCGACUUGAGUAUUGCAGGGGUACAUGGAAUUGAUGGUGUAGCGGUGAAAUGCAUAGAUACCAUCAGGAACACCGAUAGCGAAGGCAUUGUACUGGGCAACCACUGACGCUGAUGCACGAAAGCAUGGGGAGCGAACAGGAUUAGAUACCCUGGUAGUCCAUGCCGUAAACGAUGAUUACUCGCUGUUAUGCUCUAGUAGUGUAGCGGCCAAGCGAAAGCGUUAAGUAAUCCACCUGGGGAGUACGCCCGCAAGGGUGAAACUCAAAGGAAUUGACGG
rnacentral:rRNA from 1 species